CUCGGAGACAAAUUGCAGGCGCUAUGAACCGGAGCAAGGACUAAUCUCGCCUCAUAAUGAGGCGGUGACCUCCUAUUUGCUCUGAGCAAUAUAUGCAAGUCCAGAUUUACACAAUGUUGAUAAAGACGACAUUGUGUCCGCUUGUAAGACGUAUUAUGAGACGGUACGCAGGAGCUGAAGCUGCCAAGAGUUCAGCUCGAAGUCGAGCUAGAAGAAAGAGG